GGUUUUGCCAGAAGUAGUUAGCCUAACCGCAAGGAGGGCGAUUACCACGGCAGGGUUCAUGACUGGGGUGAAGUCGUAACAAGGUAGCCGUAUCGGAAGGUGCGGCUGGAUCACCUCCUUUC
rnacentral:rRNA from 2 species